CCCGGAGAAAACCCACAUUGUCACAGAGGGAGAUCGUAUAAACUUCCUACAGACGGCAUCCGUAGUCAGGAUCAAACCAGGGUCUCUGGUGCUGUAAGGCAGCAACUCUACUGCUGCACCACUGUGCUUGAAGAUAUUAAGUUUGGA